GAUGAACGCUGGCGGCGUGCCUAAUACAUGCAAGUCGAGCGAACGGACGAGAAGCUUGCUUCUCUGAUGUUAGCGGCGGACGGGUGAGUAACACGUGGAUAACCUACCUAUAAGACUGGGAUAACUUCGGGAAACCGGAGCUAAUACCGGAUGAUAUUUUGAACCGCAUGGUUCAAAAGUGAAAGACGGUCUUGCUGUCACUUAUAGAUGGAUCCGCGCUGCAUUAGCUAGUUGGUAAGGUAACUGCUUACCAAGGCAACGAAGGAUAGCCGACCUGCGAGGGUACUCGCCCACGCUGGAAUUGAGAGACGGUCCAGACUCCUACGGGAGGCAGCAGUAGGGAAUCCUCCGCAAUGGGAGAAGGCCUGACGGGGCAACGCCGCGUGAGUGAUGAAGGUCUUCGGAUCGUAAAACUCUGUUAUUAGGGAAGAACAUAUGUGUAAGUAACUGUGCACAUCUUGACGGUAACUAAUCAGAAAGCCACGGCUAACUACGUG
rnacentral:rRNA from 1 species